ACUAAGUGGCUGAGCCAAGAUGCAAAUAUGCGUCUGUGGGCUCCAAAUCUCACAUUCUUAACCACAUGCUAUCCUCCUCUAGAACAGCUGUAGUUCACGUGGCCUCGGAGUGCAGUGCUCAGAAUGCAGACUCAGGCUUGGCUGGGGCAUCAUUGCUGAUGGCAAAGUACCGGACUUCACAGUCCUCACCUCCUGCUGUGAAAAAUUCCCCUGAAUUUUAAUGCAGCCACAGAUAAAUCCAAUGUAUGUGCCCCCUCUCUGACUGCAGAUAAACCGAGGUUCACCGUUUGUGCACUUUAGAUCUUUAGGCAGUUUUGAUAACAUGAAUGAUGUAUUUCUGUGUGUGCUAAGCAACAGGGCUGGAUGUUAUUCCAACCCUUCUCGUGAUGUGUAUGUGUGUGUGUGUGUGUGUGUUUAAUGCAGAACAAUGGAUUUCUCAAAUUCACUGUAGAACACCCAUACAUUUUCUUUUAUCCUCUGAGAGCUUCCUGUAUUUGUGAACUCCUUUCAAAUCAGCAACUGCAGCCUCAACAUCUGGAUCCUCCCCACGGUAGGGAACAUAAAUUAACCGGCAGCGUCCUGUAAAUGCUAUGGGCGGGAGCUGGGGCGCACGCAGGCUGGCCGGGUGCUCUUGGUUUGCAGCAGCUGGUCCCAAGGCAGUGCCUCAGAACUGGUUUUAGCUGACGUCAGAUAACGCUGAUGUGCACCAGAUUGGCUCGUAGUGCCAGUAAAGCUGACCCCUCCCACUUCCCUUACUGCCCCCGUGCUUGCCAGAAUGCUGGAGACCAUUAUGAACUCACAGUUGUCAUUUGAUCUCCAUCUGGCUGCUGUCACUAAAGCUGCCUUUUAUCAUUUGCCAAAAGUGUAACGCUAAAGACAUUUCUCUUUCUCACAGAUCUUUGCUUCCAGUCCUUGCUUUUCUAAUUUUCUGGGUGGUUCCAAAUAAUUCUCCUUCUGUCUAGGUCUGGGUAGCUCCCUCAGGAAACUAACAAAGGACUCGCUGGAAUAUUUACUUAUGUGUCUGCUUCUUGGCGAACUGGAUUCAGCAACAGAUUUUUGAGGAAGUAUUAGAGCCUAGGGAGGAAGAGAGGCCAUAGAUGAACUGGGCACUUUGAGGAUGGAUAAAGGGAAGGCAACCUGCUUUCAAGUGGAUGGUCAGAAUAUGCUUCUCUGUGGAGUGAUAUUCCGCUGGCAGCUAAAGAACGCACAGCACAAGCUUUGUCAAUGACAAGUGGGCAGAGUGUUUCAGACAGGGUCUCCAAAUGUUGGCCAGGCUGAUCUCUGACUUUUGAUUGGAAUGUUUAGUUCAUUCACAUUAAAUUGUUGGCAUAGCUUCUGAGAUGGGCGAUAAUUUAGUUGGAUUUACUAGGAAGACUAUCAUUGACUUAUUUAUUCAACCGAUAUUUAUUGAGUGCCUGCACGUUCUGGGAACCGUAGGUUUGGGAGGACACAGAAGUGAACAACAACCAACAGUCUGCGUGGAGAAGCCGACACAAACCACACAGUCCUGUUAGCAAAAUACAGGGCUGAAGAAAACACAUUUGAUUCUGUGAGCGUGUAUCACAAAGACCCUGUUCUAGGGAAAGCCUUCCUAAUACUCCGACAGAGCUAGAAGGUGAGUGGAAGUGAACUAGGAAAAAGGGCUGGAGAAGCGAGGAGGAGAGUGAUCCAGAAAAAUAGCAGGGCGUGGAGCCCUCCAAAGAAUGCAAACCAGGUGUGCUAGGGCCCUAAGGAGGCCAGUGAGGCUGCAGCUCCCAAAGCAGGGGUUCAAGGUGCUGUAGGCAGCUGGGAAGGGCGGGGAGUGUGUGUGGGGGUGCAGACCACUUAAGGCCUUAUGAAGAAUUUUUGUCUUUUUUUUUUUUUUAAGAAAAAUGAGAAAUCCUUAAAAGAGUUUAGGUAGGCUUACAGGAUCAUAUUAGUAGUUUUAAAAGAUAAUGUUAAGAGGAACUUUUCAUGUUUGCUCUGGGGAGUUUUUGUAUAUGGAGAGGUUCUACUUUUCGCCUUGCUCCCUCCCUUUAGUGGUGUUGAACUAAAUGUAUUAGGAAAAUACCCAGUGCAUCUUCUAUGAGCUGCCUACAAAUGACCCUGUGCUUUUGGAGCCAAAGUCUGCGUUGGUGGUAGAUUGUAACAAUGAAAACAACAAUGUCAUUAUAAGAAGAGGAAUGACGGCUACCAUUGUCGGAACACUUACGAUGUGUCCUAGCUUUGUGCUAGGUCCUCUGCAAGUUUUAUCUCAUGGACUCUUCACAGUCACCUUAGGAGACUUAAAAAAAUUUUUUUUGCUACCACAUAGGCCAGUCACUAUGCCUGGCAUCCCUCUAAAGGGGAACGCUCCUGCCUACCACCUCAGCAAAACGUGGGGUGCCCUGACUGGACUGGGGGAGCCUGGACCCAACAGCAACCAACCCAUUGGCCGGCCAGCGGCCUAUAGGGUAUCAGAAGACAAAAGGCUUCAUCCACAUUGACUGUUGCUUUUAGAAAUUUUAAGUUGGGAUACGUAGAGGAAAUCAGUUCACUGCAAAGACUGAAGUUGAGAGAUGAGGAGGCAGAGAGCCACGGUGAGCCCGGCUGAGGUGAGGGCGUGAGCAAGCAGCAGCUGUGAGGUACAGGAAAGGUAUGUGGGGAGGGAGAGAAACUAAGGCACAGGGGACAGGGAACACUUGGAGAGCAGACAGCUCGCAUAGAUGGUGAGCAGUAGAGAACAGAUCCCUGGGAUCCGUACCCGGCCCUCGCCCCUCAGAAUGGUUCCUCCUCGCUCUGCGUGAGGUGCCUGCCUCCCACAUCAGACCCUCAUUACCAGAGAGCACCUCAAAGAAUCUCCGCUCCAGGCAACCCCGGGGACUCAGCACUCCCGGGCGCAGAUGAAGAAACAGACUCAGAGAGGUAAAGUAACCUGCACAAAUUGCCACAGCUAAUUGGCAGAGCAGAAAUUCGAACUCCAGUUUGUGUGAUUCUGAUGCCCCUGUUUUUAAGCCUAAUACUAUUUAUUCUAGCAGCAGGAAUCAUCUGCUCAAAAACAUUUGCUCAGACUGCUAGCUUUUCCUUACCGUGAACACAAACACAACAGGCACACAACUUUAAAAUGGUAGGUCAAGUUACCUGCACUAUUGGCCUGUUGUUAGCUAUUGUGGCCUAAGAGUCCUGACAUAAGAGGACUGUUGCUUUUGUGCUCACUGGUCAAAAACAGUUUCUUCACCUCGUCAGCUACUGAGGGGGAGGAGCAGAGAAGGUGGCAGGGGCACUUCAGGAGAUAGGUUUAUAAUUUCUCUUCCGAGAACUGGUAAAAGCCUUGCAGGUCUGAGACAUCACCAUCCACUCACUCAGGGAGCGGUCUCGGGAGAACUGGGUCAUGCAAAAGAAACACCCAGCAAUCACUGGGAAGUAGAUGGCUGUGACUCUAGUUUUUGGUAAGUGGAGGAACAGAGCUGGGUGCCUAACCAACCAGAAUUGUGGUCCUCUGUGUGGAAUGUUCUCUUCCAGGGUCAGUGGGAAGGGAGGGAAUUGAGAACAAAUUUAAUGAGUACCUAGAAUGGGAGGCUUUGUGCCCACAGAAAGUGUAAAGUUCAGAGUCACUGGCACAUAGGCCUGAAAUAGGUCUUCUUCACUGCGACACAGCAGAAAACCUCUGAGGCUGCAGCCCCCUGGUAAACGCAGCCCCUUCCCUCCAGAGACCCUCUCUGUGCACGCCUGGACCCAACUGCCGCUCCUGACUUGCUCCAGGUCCCGUGCUGAGGACAGAGGGGAUCCCCGUCUUUCGUGUUCCACCCUAGUGAGCCCUUGUGUGUCCUGUGCCAAUUGCAGCUGGAGACGCUUCCUUGCCAGAUCACCCUUUCCCUGAUUCCUGGUGUUUAUCCUGUCAAGGUGGGGCACCCUGACCCAGAGACCAGACGGACCCACACCGGCGAGAUCGACCAGGACAGGCCCAAUGUGACGCGUGUCCCGUGAAGGUCGGCAGACUGCCAGCGUCACAGAGUCCAACAGCAAAGAUCAAAUCAGCCGUGAGGGCGGCCCGGGAUCCCACAGAUCACCUGAGUCAUCCACCUUCGCUCUUUCCUUAUCACAGACCCGCUGCGCCCCUGCUCUCUGAACAUUUGUCUUUUAAACGUUCACUUUCUAACUUAAUUAAAUAAAACUUUCUAGCAUUACAGUAAAUGAAAAAUGAGAAUCAGCUGUCAAGAAUAAAGAAGGACGCUUUGAUAAUCAAUGUAACCAUAUUGUAGAAAUCACUGGUCCAUGUUUCAUCUAAAACGGCCGCUCACCACCUUCGAGGCCUGCCUGCCUGACCUUGGCCUGGCUGGGGCUGGAGAGUCUGGGCCCGGCCUGGGGUUCCAGGGUCAGCCCUGCAGAUGGUGUUCUACCGUGUGUGGCUGAGAGACUGCAGAGAGGUGACUGAAGCCUGCUGGGCCUAUUUUCCUUCCCCAUCAACGGGGAAUCCCGGGGAUACCUGCCCUGCAGGGCUGCCGCAGAGAUCGGAUGAAGUACUGCAACAGCAAGCGCUCAGCACGAGGCCUGGCACACAUACCCUCCACUGGGGCUGCCUGGCCUUCCCAGGGUUCCUUCUGUAAGUGCACCUUGUGAUUUUCUCAGACUGCCUAUCACAAUCUUUGGAAAUGUGGCUUUUAUUUGUUUAUUUCUUGGACUUACAUAAGAAUAUUUUUUCCAUGCUCAGGUGAUGCAGGUUGACUCCAGGUGGAUUAAUCUUGGAUGGGCACGGAUGGGUGGCUUUGCUUUAGGUUGCUAGUUUGUCUGGAUUGGGUUCCAGCUUGCCAACACGUUUCUCUCAUCAUCCCUGGCCCAGCUGCUAUCCACAGCAUAUUUUUCUCAAGGUGGAUGGUGGCAUGCUUUUGUCAGGAUAAGUGGCAGGAGCAAGCGAGAUCAAACCAAACUGUGCAAACCUUUAUGGCACCUUUUCUUUCUUUUUGUCCAAUCCCGUCCUGUGAUGCUAUGGCACCUUUUUAUAUCACAUUUGCUGACAUUCCAUUGGCCAAAGCAAGUAACACCCUCAUGCCCAACAUUAAUGGUGAAAAAUAUGGUUUUUGGAGGUAAGACCAAAGUCCGAUUUGAAACAGAAGGCAACUACGAAACAGUGAGAAGGGUGUCAUUGUGGUGUUACUCUUGCUAAGGAUGAGAAACAACAAACUAGAGCCGCAGUUUAUGAGGAUCAAGAGCAGAGGUGAAUGCUUCUCCAUGAAGGGAGUCCGGGGCCGCCUGCAACAGGUGUCGCAGGUCCUCCCUAGCGCAGCCCCUCACCCCACAGCUCUUGGGAGAAACCUGAGAUUCUCCGCAGCACAAGCCGGAGGCAAAGCAAGCCUGUCUGAGUCCAGAGUGAGCGCUCGGGCCCCUUGGCGCAGUGCCGGCGCAGGUCUGGGCUCCCCGGCGUGCCCAGGUCCAGCCGGAAGUGUGGCCCUCUGCAGAGUUGGGUGCCACUCAGCCUGGGCAGGGGCGAGGGCGUGCCUGUGGCAGCCCCCAGGCUCGGCACAGCAGCUCCCAGACAUUCUGGUGCAGAUUUUCCCCGGAUGAAACAGCCUCUUCCUGUGCAACCUCCCAUCAGCACCUGACCUUCACUCACUUUUAACCACUUCCUUGCUUUCUCUACGCCCGGCUUCCCUCUACACAUCCCGAGUUUAUUCACAGUGUCGCUUCACCCUUCUUCCAGGGUAUGAAUCUACCUUUUUUCUCCUUUCCCCUCCUCUCUCUUCUGUUUCUCUCAUUUUCUCUUUCUGUCUCUCUCUUAUCUAUUUCAUCCUGCCUCUCCUUCUCUCCUUCCCUCCCUCUCUCCUUUCCUUCUUCACAAAUGCCCCUUACUCAUGGGCUAGGUGUUGUGCUAGAGGUUACAGUGGUAACGGGAUCCUUGUCCUUAUGGGAUGUUUAGUCUAAAAGGGAAGACCAACACUAACGAAUAUGCUCAAAUAAUAACUUAAUUAUACCAGCAAUAAUGCUAUGAGAGAUCCAAGUGGGCCACAUUCUUUGAACUCAUUUGACAUUUUCCAUGUCUGACUGGAAUAUUGGUUGCAGUAGAUUGUGAAUACCCUGGAUUAUGCGAUUAUGUCUGCUUUGCAUGUAGCUCCAGUGCCUAGUACAGAGCCUGGCUCAUGCACAGUAUGCACUCAGUGAUUACUUGUGACAUACUUUGAAAUGUAACCAGUCAGUGUUCAUAUGACAUAGGAGUCAUGAGGGGAAGUCAGAGGCGGCAAAUCUCUUCCUCCAUCCCAUGCUUCCCUCACCCUACCCACAGCCAACUAGAUGCCAAAGGUGUAAGGUGUCAAGGAAGGGAUGCAGGCCAAGUGUCAUCCUAGGUUCUCUGCCCAUAGCUCUCCCCUUGAGAAAACCUCCCCAGGAGCCCCCUUCCAUGAACCUCCAACUUUAGAAGAAAUAAAGGAACAAUCUCUCUGCCUGGCUUCUUGUCUUCCUUGGCAUGGAUUGGAUGCACUUCGACCACUCUCACCUGGGCCAGGAAGAGAACAGCAAAGCAUUGAAGGAUGGGAGAAAACAAGUUAACAAAUGAACCCAAACCCUUGAUUACAGCAGAGACGCUCUUUUAGAGAGGUCAGAGCACCGGUGUCCGUCUUCCCCGACGCCAGGCCAUCAGGAGGGCGGGUGGACACCUCGGCGGGCGCGGAGGCCUUGUGCGAUCAGACAUCGUGCAGAGCGACAACAGGCUUAGGCUUUCCUGGAUGUGACUUGGCUCUGAUAAGAAUCUGUCCAACGUGGCCGUGAUAUGACAGUAAAUUCCAUGGAUUUGAACAGCACGAUUCAUGCCAAAAAAAAACUUGAUGGCUUUUUUGGACAGAAUUGUCUUCAUUGUUACUGGGUACGGGACAAAAAGAAAAAGUGCAAGAGAUGCAGCAUCUGUAACUUUGUGGCAUCUGAGGACGCCGUCAGCCCUCUUUUCCCCUCCACAGGGGGGGAGGAGGCUGAUGCAAGGGCUGGGCGAGGUCACCUUCAGCGUGCUGAGUGCGCCCAGGGAGCACGCCAGGGUGAAAAGGAGAUGGACGCACAGCCCGCGUGGGGACAGGCAGUAGCUCCGUGUGCUAGCUCGUAAACUCAGAAUGGAACUCGGAAUUUUAUAGCUGUAAAGGAUAUUAGCAGCUGCCCAGUCCAAAAGCUCUGAACUAGUUCAACGCCAUUGCUUCCAAGGUGAGACUGAGGUCAAGACACGGGAAAUGACGGACUUAGAGACUUCACUGAGUUAGUAGCAGAGCCAUGACCUGCUUCUACUUCCACUGUCUCCCUGUUGAUUGUGAUUCUGCAGGGCAACUGUCCUCCACGCAGUGACUCGGGGCCCAGUAGGCUUCACCUUCGCAAGCUGAGACUCCUUGGUUGCUAUCGCAGAGGAAAGAGAGAGAAGCUGAAGAACUUUCCGUGGGUUUGUCAGUUCUGCAGUGUGGAAACGAGCCACAUCCAUUUCUCUCAGGACUAACCACACGGCCUCACCUAACGACACAGAGACCAGGAAAUGUGAGGGAGCGUGUGGAGUAUUUGGUGAGCAUCACUGUCUCGGCCUUGUGGCGGGAGACCGUCUGUGGGCAUAACAGAUACGUCAAUAAGGUCCAUUCUCCCACCCUACAAGAGAAAAGCACAGCUCUCUGCUGACCUGACUUACCCUGGGCACUGCUCCAAGGUCUACAAACCUCUGUGCUACAAAGGGAGAAUUCCAAAUAUCAACACCUAACUGGAUUCUAAUGAUUGGGGAAUAAAUCCUGCUGUAACUCCUGUGGUUCCCACAUCUUUGCUUUCAAUGAAAUUGAAGGAUAUCCUAAUUGAAUUAUCAGCUGAUAGAUCAUUAAAAAUAUUUUUAUGGUAAAUGAUUAUGUGAUCUUUGUCUUAUGUCUCUGACAUAGUUUAGACUUGAGUGGCAAUGCUGUUAAGUCUAUCUCCACCUACUUAUUGAUGUAAACACAGUUUCUCAAUGCCUGUAUCUGUAAAAAUAAUAAAUAGGAAUAGAAUGGAUGCUGCACCCUGUCUCAUUCUAGCAAUAAAUAAUUCAUUUGUGAGUAUAAGAAGCAAGUGAAAAAAAAAAAACAACUAGUCAGCUUACUAAUAAAUGCAAUUCCAAUAAAAAUUUACUUUAAUAAUUAUGCAUUAAAAUUUGUAAUAUGUGUCUGUUGUUUUGACUGUGCUAAUGAUAGCUAAAUCCAGAAAUGAAUUUAAAACACUUGCAGCCUUCACCUUACAUAUUUAGUUUGUGUUUUUGUUGUGGAGGUAGAGAAUUAUGAUAAAAUGACCAGUAAAAGACUUUCAAGUAUUACAACUUAAUUUUAGAAAUAAUUUCUGCUGUAGAAGUGGAAUGGAGAAAAAAUGGUGAAAAUGUUUAUUAAAGAAGGGCUUGUUCAUGUAAUUUCAACUAGAUGGUUAUGGAUAUCAAACAUGGUAGUUUGUGGUGAUGUUUAGAAUUCCUUGGGAAACAUUUAAGAGAGUAAUAUAAGACCUGUAUUUUUAUAUGGCAAUAUUUAUAAUAUGUCCAAAAUUAUAUCCUUUACAACUAUUUAAACUUCUCAUGAAACUUUUUAGAAGUUUAUUUAAAAAAUGGAUGAGAGGUAUAUAGUUUUCAAAUUUUUUGGAGUGUGCAGGCAAAGAUUUAGAGAUGAUUGCCUUAGAGAUCUGUUUUUACUAAUAGAUAAAAUUGUCAAGUAAUCAAGAAUGAUAUUGUAUCUGAUUCUACUCCCUGCUCAAAAAAAAAAAAAAAAAAGAAUGAUAUUGUAGAAAAGGUGCAUCUACCAAUAACCCUUUGUACUUCGUAAAAACACUAAUCAUGAUCACUACCUUGCAUGCUAUGCAGGUACUUGACAAACCUUUACUCAUAGAUUAUGCAAAGGUGAACUUCGCCUCCUGUCUCUCUCCCACCUAAUCACAAGGAAGAUGU